rnacentral:rRNA from 1 species
UAUGUGAUCGUCUCUCGCAUAUCAAUAAGCGGAGGAAAAGAAACUAACAAGGAUUCCCCCUAGUAACGGCGAGUGAAGCGGGAAGAGCUCAAAUUUGAAAUCUUAAAGGGUUUCCCUUUACGAAUUGUAGUUUAAAGAAGUGUUUUCUGUUGAGGUUUUGGUAAAAGUUCUUUGGAAUAGGACAUCAUAGAGGGUGAGAAUCCCGUAUUUGACCUUUACUUUCAACUUUGUGAUACACUUUCAAAGAGUCGGAUUGUUUGGGAAUGCAGUCCAAAAUGGGUGGUAAAUUUCAUCUAAAGCUAAAUAUUGGCGAGAGACCGAUAGCGAACAAGUACCGUGAGGGAAAGAUGAAAAGAACUUUGAAAAGAGAGUUAAACAGUACGUGAAAUUGUCAAAAGGGAAGCGUUCGACACCAGUGUUGUUUUUCUGAAAAUCAAUUAAAGAACUGUUUAUGCUAAGCUUGUUUAGACUUUAUCAGCUAAUCUGCUUAGUUUUGAGCUUUUCUUCAAUGCACUUUUCAGUUAACAAGUCAACAUCAAUUUCUUUUGCUGUAAAAAAGCUUGAGGAAGGUGGCUUGAGAUUCGUCUUAAGUGUUUAUAGCCUCUUGCCUAUGCAGUCGGAGAGAUUGAGGUCUGCAGCGUAGAUCCUUCGGGGCUAAAUGCAUUUGUGCUAAGUUAUAGCAUUUUAUAGACAACUUGUUGACUAUGAUUUGUCUUGUAGCUUACUCGCUUAUGUUAUUUUACCUACGCUUAGGAUGUUGAUCUACAGAGCGAGAGU